UGCCUAAAAGCACCGUUAAUGGAUCAGGA
rnacentral:piRNA from 1 species